AGUCUAGGGGCCGUGGGGAGCUGGAGGAAGAGAUCCAGUGUAAAUAUAACUUCCAAGGUGACCAUUGCUCUAUUGCUCUCUUGGCAGUUUCUUGCUUUCUGUUGCACUGCGUGAAGUGUGAAGCUUAUUCUUGAAGAGACCUCUACCUGGCUCUACAGUGGAAAUGGAUCCAGAAGUUUCUAGAUAGUUUUGAGGAGAAGUGGGUCAGAAGGGAGGAGAGCCCAACAUUGUUUGAAAGAGUGUAGCCUAGAACUCAACUGGAUGGAUCCACACACUGAAUUACACAGAUGCGUGGCACUUUGAUGAAGGCUUGAGAGCAGCUGAAGAAACAGUACGGAGGGAGCCUGGAGGAGCUGCUUACAUACGAAGCAGGCCUGUAGAGAAGAUGGAGUUUGUGGCCCUCAUGGAAUGAAGGAAAAGUAUUUGAGCAUUAGACCUCCCACUUUCAAUGGUUUGUACAAAGACGUCUAUUUCUAGAAGAAAAACAUCUAUCGUGUCCCGUUCAUUCCAAAGCACUGAGCAGUCCAGACAGGACCAAGCAAACGUGAUCCAUGAGGAACAGGGAUGAACAAGGUUGCAGGGGAGAAGCGCGCUCUGCUGGGGCGGAGCCCACACUCGCUGCCCUGAGGACCCUACCCUGUGUCAGGUCCUCCCUGGGUCCUUCUUCAGCAAACCAAGCAUGAUUAAAGUAGGCUUUUAACAAUACUCA